rnacentral:rRNA from 1 species
GAUGAACGCUAGCUACAGGCUUAACACAUGCAAGUCGAGGGGAAACGGCAUUUAGUGCUUGCACCGAAUGGACGUCGACCGGCGCACGGGUGAGUAACGCGUAUCCAACCUACCCAUUACUGUGGGAUAACCUGCCGAAAGGCAGACUAAUACCGCAUAGUCUUCGAUGACGGCAUCAGAUUUGAAGUAAAGAUUUAUCGGUAAUGGAUGGGGAUGCGUCUGAUUAGCUUGUUGGCGGGGUAACGGCCCACCAAGGCAACGAUCAGUAGGGGUUCUGAGAGGAAGGUCCCCCACAUUGGAACUGAGACACGGUCCAAACUCCUACGGGAGGCAGCAGUGAGGAAUAUUGGUCAAUGGACGGAAGUCUGAACCAGCCAAGUAGCGUGCAGGAAGACGGCCCUAUGGGUUGUAAACUGCUUUUGUAUGGGGAUAAAGUCAAUCACGUGUGAUUGUUUGCAGGUACCAUACGAAUAAGGACCGGCUAAUUCCGUGCCAGCAGCCGCGGUAAUACGGAAGGUUCGGGCGUUAUCCGGAUUUAUUGGGUUUAAAGGGAGCGUAGGCCGGAGAUUAAGUGUGUUGUGAAAUGUAGACGCUCAACGUCUGACUUGCAGCGCAUACUGGUUUCCUUGAGUACGCACAACGUUGGCGGAAUUCGUCGUGUAGCGGUGAAAUGCUUAGAUAUGACGAAGAACUCCGAUUGCGAAGGCAGCUGACGGGAGCGCAACUGACGCUGAAGCUCGAAGGUGCGGGUAUCGAACAGG